GAGUUCGGGAGAGGUGAGUGGAAUUCCGAGUGUAGAGGUGAAAUUCGUAGAUAUUGGGAAGAACACCAGUGGCGAAGGCGRCUCACUGGNCCGNUACUGACGCUGAGGCNCGAAAGCGUGGGGAGCAAACAGGAUUAGAUACCCUGGUAGUCCACGCCGUAAACGAUGWGUGCUAGAYGCUGGGGUGCAUACCUCUUCGUGGCGCAGCUAACGCUUUAAGCAUUCCGCCUGGGGAGUACGGUCGCAAGAUUAAAACUCAAAGGAAUUUGACGG
rnacentral:rRNA from 1 species